UGGGGGAUAUUGCACAAUGGGCGAAAGCCUGAUGCAGCGACGCCGCGUGGGGGAUGAAGGCUUUCGGGUUGUAAACCUCUUUCGCUAUCGAACAAGGCCCGCUUAGGGUUGGUUGAGGGUAGGUGGAGAAGAAGCGCCGGCUAACUACGUGCCAGCAGCCGCGGUAAUACGUAGGGCGCGAGCGUUGUCCGGAAUUAUUGGGCGUAAAGGGCUUGUAGGCGGCUUGUUGCGCCUGCUGUGAAAACGCGGGGCUUAACUUCGCGCGUGCAGUGGGUACGGGCAGGCUUGAGUGUGGUAGGGGUGACUGGAAUUCCAGGUGUAGCGGUGGAAUGCGCAGAUAUCUGGAGGAACACCGAUGGCGAAGGCAGGUCACUGGGCCAUUACUGACGCUGAGGAGCGAAAGCAUGGGUAGCGAACAGG
rnacentral:rRNA from 1 species